AGAUGGAGCAGGGAAAGCUGAUGACACCUGUCCCGACCGGAGCUCUGGCUGACACUCCGCAUUAAGGAAAUGCAGAACUAUUGAACAACACACUCCAUCACCACCAAAGCUUCAAUGAUGUCCAGGGACACUCAUCCAAAGGUUUCCAUCAACAACUCAUUUGCUCCACCACCACCAGAGUCUAGACUCCGGGGAUCUAUCCUAUCUCCUAUCUUCAUAUGGGCCUACGCUUGAUGAAGAUGCUUCAUAUCGAUUGAGUCUAAUCACCAAAACUCUCUCUGUUGUUCAUCUCAAUAAAUUUUGAUAUUCACUUCCA